AACGAACGCUGGCGGCGUGCUUAACACAUGCAAGUCGGAUGCGAAAGGGGCUUUCGGGCGCUGAGUAGCAUGGCAGACGGGUGAGGAGUGCGUAUCUGACGGAACUCAGGCAGGGGGAUAGUCCUCCGAAAGGGGGUUGAAUACCGCAUGUGCUCAGGAGUGUCAUGCUCUUGAGGAAAGAUGGCCUCUGCAUGCAAGCUGUUGGCCUGAGACCGGGAUGCGUCCUAUUAGCUAGCUGGUGGGGUAAUGGCCUACCAGGGCGACGAUGGGUAGCUGGUCUGAGAGGAUGAUCAGCCACACUGGAACUGCGACACGGUCCAGACUCCUACGGGAGGCAG
rnacentral:rRNA from 1 species